rnacentral:rRNA from 1 species
GCCGAGCGGUAGAGAUUCUUCGGAAUCUUGAGAGCGGCGUACGGGUGCGGAACACGUGUGCAACCUGCCUUUAUCUGGGGGAUAGCCUUUCGAAAGGAAGAUUAAUACCCCAUAAUAUACUGGAUGGCAUCAUUCGGUAUUGAAAACUCCGGUGGAUAGAGAUGGGCACGCGCAAGAUUAGAUAGUUGGUGAGGUAACGGCUCACCAAGUCUGCGAUCUUUAGGGGGCCUGAGAGGGUGAUCCCCCACACUGGUACUGAGACACGGACCAGACUCCUACGGGAGGCAGCAGUGAGGAAUAUUGGACAAUGGGUGAGAGCCUGAUCCAGCCAUCCCGCGUGAAGGACGACGGCCCUAUGGGUUGUAAACUUCUUUUGUAUAGGGAUAAACCUACCCUCGUGAGGGUAGCUGAAGGUACUAUACGAAUAAGCACCGGCUAACUCCGUGCCAGCAGCCGCGGUAAUACGGAGGGUGCAAGCGUUAUCCGGAUUUAUUGGGUUUAAAGGGUCCGUAGGCGGAUCUGUAAGUCAGUGGUGAAAUCUCACAGCUUAACUGUGAAACUGCCAUUGAUACUGCAGGUCUUGAGUGUUGUUGAAGUAGCUGGAAUAAGUAGUGUAGCGGUGAAAUGCAUAGAUAUUACUUAGAACACCAAUUGCGAAGGCAGGUUACUAAGCAACAACUGACGCUGAUGGACGAAAGCGUGGGGAGCGAACAGGAUUAGAUACCCUGGUAGUCCACGCCGUAAACGAUGCUAACUCGUUUUUGGAGCGCAAGCUUCAGAGACUAAGCGAAAGUGAUAAGUUAGCCACCUGGGGAGUACGAACGCAAGUUUGAAACUCAAAGGAAUUGACGGGGGCCCGCACAAGCGGUGGAUUAUGUGGUUUAAUUCGAUGAUACGCGAGGAACCUUACCAAGGCUUAAAUGGGAAAUGACAGGUUUAGAAAUAGACUUUUCUUCGGACAUUUUUCAAGGUGCUGCAUGGUUGUCGUCAGCUCGUGCCGUGAGGUGUUAGGUUAAGUCCUGCAACGAGCGCAACCCCUGUCACUAGUUGCCAUCAUUAAGUUGGGGACUCUAGUGAGACUGCCUACGCAAGUAGAGAGGAAGGUGGGGAUGACGUCAAAUCAUCACGGCCCUUACGCCUUGGGCCACACACGUAAUACAAUGGCCGGUACAGAGGGCAGCUACACUGCGAAGUGAUGCAAAUCUCGAAAGCCGGUCUCAGUUCGGAUUGGAGUCUGCAACUCGACUCUAUGAAGCUGGAAUCGCUAGUAAUCGCGCAUCAGCCAUGGCGCGGUGAAUACGUUCCCGGGCCUUGUACACACCGCCCGUCAAGCCAUGGAAGUCUGGGGUACCUGAAGUCGGUGACCGUAA